UUCUGGAAACUUCCUUCUUCUUGUGUUAACUUCCAAACGACUCACAACGAUGUCACGCUUAUGUCAAAUAAAACAGUUAUUAAACUUUAACUAAAUCGCCUCGCGUUUUACUCCACCAUUUACAAAUAGUACUAUUUGCCGUUCAGAAGCUAGCACUUCAUUGCUUGUGUCAUCUAAAUCAACAUGGUUCCAUAACAAUAUAUAUGCGGAAUGCUAACGGCGCUUUGCAGAAAAAGGCUGAACUUGCACAAUUUUUAAAUGAUAACAACAUAACCUCACAAACAAGUUCCAGGAUAUCAGUUCUACUCCACAAAUCACCCGGAUGGCAAGGUCCAUGGAAGCACCGUCCACUUCAAUAAGUCUCCAGUCUACAAUCUGGUUUCUCACCCGGUUUCACCACUUCGCUUUCCAAUCUUUAUGGAUUUUUUUUUUGAAUUCUUUAAUUCAUUAGGUAAGAGAAUAACUGCGUCCGGCGACUACAAUGUAAAUCACCUGGUCUUGUAACCACAACGGGAAAGUAGCUGAUUAUUGUGAUUAUCAAGCCGCAGUUUUGGGUGGUUUUAGGGCGUGGCAAAUUUUUUUUUGCAAAUCGAUGGAAACUUGCAAGCCUAAUAAAAAUUUAAAAAA